rnacentral:rRNA from 1 species
CCGACUUACCAACCCGAUGCAAACUGCGAAUACCGGAGAAUGUUAUCACGGGAGACACACGGCGGGUGCUAACGUCCGUCGUGAAGAGGGAAACAACCCAGACCGCCAGCUAAGGUCCCAAAGUCAUGGUUAAGUGGGAAACGAUGUGGGAAGGCCCAGACAGCCAGGAUGUUGGCUUAGAAGCAGCCAUCAUUUAAAGAAAGCGUAAUAGCUCACUGGUCGAGUCGGCCUGCGCGGAAGAUGUAACGGGGCUAAACCAUGCACCGAAGCUGCGGCAGCGACGCUGAUGCGUUGUUGGGUAGGGGAGCGUUCUGUAAGCCUGUGAAGGUGUGCUGUGAGGCAUGCUGGAGGUAUCAGAAGUGCGAAUGCUGACAUAAGUAACGAUAAAGCGGGUGAAAAGCCCGCUCGCCGGAAGACCAAGGGUUCCUGUCCAACGUUAAUCGGGGCAGGGUGAGUCGACCCCUAAGGCGAGGCCGAAAGGCGUAGUCGAUGGGAAACAGGUUAAUAUUCCUGUACUUGGUGUUACUGCGAAGGGGGGACGGAGAAGGCUAUGUUGGCCGGGCGACGGUUGUCCCGGUUUAAGCGUGUAGGCUGGUUUUCCAGGCAAAUCCGGAAAACUAAGGCUGAGGCGUGAUGACGAGGCACUACGGUGCUGAAGCAACAAAUGCCCUGCUUCCAGGAAAAGCCUCUAAGCAUCAGGUAACAUCAAAUCGUACCCCAAACCGACACAGGUGGUCAGGUAGAGAAUACCAAGGCGCUUGAGAGAACUCGGGUGAAGGAACUAGGCAAAAUGGUGCCGUAACUUCGGGAGAAGGCACGCUGAUAUGUAGGUGAAGUCCCUCGCGGAUGGAGCUGAAAUCAGUCGAAGAUACCAGCUGGCUGCAACUGUUUAUUAAAAACACAGCACUGUGCAAACACGAAAGUGGACGUAUACGGUGUGACGCCUGCCCGGUGCCGGAAGGUUAAUUGAUGGGGUCAGCGCAAGCGAAGCUCUUGAUCGAAGCCCCGGUAAACGGCGGCCGUAACUAUAACGGUCCUAAGGUAGCGAAAUUCCUUGUCGGGUAAGUUCCGACCUGCACGAAUGGCGUAAUGAUGGCCAGGCUGUCUCCACCCGAGACUCAGUGAAAUUGAACUCGCUGUGAAGAUGCAGUGUACCCGCGGCAAGACGGAAAGACCCCGUGAACCUUUACUAUAGCUUGACACUGAACAUUGAGCCUUGAUGUGUAGGAUAGGUGGGAGGCUUUGAAGUGUGGACGCCAGUCUGCAUGGAGCCGACCUUGAAAUACCACCCUUUAAUGUUUGAUGUUCUAACGUUGACCCGUAAUCCGGGUUGCGGACAGUGUCUGGUGGGUAGUUUGACUGGGGCGGUCUCCUCCUAAAGAGUAACGGAGGAGCACGAAGGUUGGCUAAUCCUGGUCGGACAUCAGGAGGUUAGUGCAAUGGCAUAAGCCAGCUUGACUGCGAGCGUGACGGCGCGAGCAGGUGCGAAAGCAGGUCAUAGUGAUCCGGUGGUUCUGAAUGGAAGGGCCAUCGCUCAACGGAUAAAAGGUACUCCGGGGAUAACAGGCUGAUACCGCCCAAGAGUUCAUAUCGACGGCGGUGUUUGGCACCUCGAUGUCGGCUCAUCACAUCCUGGGGCUGAAGUAGGUCCCAAGGGUAUGGCUGUUCGCCAUUUAAAGUGGUACGCGAGCUGGGUUUAGAACGUCGUGAGACAGUUCGGUCCCUAUCUGCCGUGGGCGCUGGAGAACUGAGGGGGGCUGCUCCUAGUACGAGAGGACCGGAGUGGACGCAUCACUGGUGUUCGGGUUGUCAUGCCAAUGGCACUGCCCGGUAGCUAAAUGCGGAAGAGAUAAGUGCUGAAAGCAUCUAAGCACGAAACUUGCCCCGAGAUGAGUUCUCCCUGACUCCUUGAGAGUCCUGAAGGAACGUUGAAGACGACGACGUUGAUAGGCCGGGUGUGUAAGCGCAGCGAUGCGUUAAGCUAACCGGUACUAAUGAACCGUGAGGCUUAACCUU